AAUCUGCUUUCCUCAGCAGCGACGUCGACUAGCCAUACUCCUCACAACUCAUGGUAAGUAACGUUAGUCAGCUAAUCCUACUUACGUUUGUAACACUUUAUUAUAAAGUUAAUAAUUAUUAAGCAUUUCCUAACAAUUGUCUUUGUAUUUUACGUCAUCUUCAAAAAGUUUCAUAGCUUAAUCGAAGUCACCUGAAGGACGGCUUUCCUCAGCAACGGCAAGACCCGCACUCCUCUCAUAUCGUGAAGUUUAACAAGUUUCGCGGCUCAAGCAAGAGGCACCUGUCACUGAAGGACUGCUUUUCUCAGCAACGACGUGAACAGCAUUACUUGAAUUUCCUGGUUCAGCUGAUCUACCCGUCUUCGUACAAGCAGAGUUGGCAGAGGAGGUCAUAAAAAUCGAAAUCCUUCGGGACAAUUAUGGGACAGUC